rnacentral:sRNA from 1 species
UUUUUUAAUAUUGUUAAUUUUGUUUAGUGUUUAAGAUUAUAUAAUUAUAUUAUGAUUGUUAUUAUAUGUUUUUUUCCAUAGCAUACUAUCCCAUGUUAUUAUCCACUCAAACCUGUCACACCAUAUAACCCCGUCCCGUGAAAUUAAACACAAAUUUGUCAUUUUAUUAUAAAUUUCAAAUAUUUAU